ensembl:lncRNA
GAUCCAUAUAAAAGUACAUCAUGUAUGUUUUGUGGUUUUGUACUCAAAAGUACAUCAUGUAUGUUUUGUGGUGGUGUGUGGUGGUGUGUGGAGGUGGUGUGGAGGUGGUGUAGUGGUGUGUGGAGGUGUGUGGUGGGGUGUGGAGGUGGUGUAGGGGUGUGUGGAGGUGUGUAGUGGUGUGUGGAGGUGGUGUAGUGGUGUGUGGAGGUGGUGUAGUGGGGUGUGGAGGCGUGUGGAGGUGGUGUAGUGGGGUGUGGAGGCGUGUGGAGGUGUUGUAGUGGUGUGUGGAGGCGUGUGGAGGUGUUGUAGUGGGGUGUGGAGGUGGUGUAGUGGGGUGUGGAGGCGUGUGGAGGUGGUGUAGUGGUGUGUGGAGGUGUGUAGUGGUGUGUGGAGGUGGUGUAGUGGUGUGUGGAGGUGGUGUAGUGGUGUGUGGAGGUGUGUAGUGGUGUGUGGAGGUGGUGUAGUGGGGUGUGGAGGUGUGUGGAGGUGGUGUAGUGGUGUGUGGAGGUGUGUAGUGGUGUGUGGAGGUGGUGUAGUGGUGUGUGGUGGGGUGUGGAGGUGGUGUAGUGGUGUGUGGAGGUGGUGUAGUGGGGUUUGGAGGUGGUGUAGUGGUGUGUGGAGGUGUGUGGUGGGGUGUGGAGGUGGUGUAGUGGUGUGUGGAGGCGUGUGGAGGUGGUGUAGUGGGGUGUAGUGGUGUGUGGUGGGGUGUGGAGGUGGUGUAGUGGUGUGUGGAGGUGGUGUAGUGGGGUUUGGAGGUGGUGUAGUGGUGUGUGGAGGCGUGUGGAGGUGGUGUAGUGGUGUGUGGAGGCGUGUGGAGGUGGUGUAGUGGUGUGUGGAGGUGGUGUAGUGGGGUGUGGAGGUGUGUGGUGGGGUGUGGAGGUGGUGUAGUGGUGUGUGAUGGGGUGUGGAGGUGGUGUGGUGUGGUGUGGAGGUGGUGUGUGAAGGUGUGUGAUGGGGUGUGGAAGUGGUGGUGUGUGGUGGAGGUGGUGUGUGAUGGGGUGUGGUGGUGUGUGGAGGUGGUGUAGUGGGGUGUGGAGGUGUGUGGUGGGGUGUGGAGGUGGUGUAGUGGUGUGUGGAGGUGUGUGAUGGGGUGUGGAGGUGGUGUGGUGUGGUGUGGAGGUGGUGUGUGAAGGUGUGUGAUGGGGUGUGGAAGUGGUGGUGUGUGGUGGAGGUGGUGUUUGGAGGUGGUGUAGUGUGGAGGUGGUGUAGUGGGGUGUGGUGGUGUAGUGGGGUGUGGGUGUGGAGGGAUAAGAUGAGAUGAGUUCUGUUCUGAUGAGAUGAGAUCUGUUCAGAUGAGAUAAAAUGAGUGGGGAGCGGACAGAUGCAUCUCCUGCAGGGACAUCUCUCUGGAAAAAAUAAAUCAAUUGGCAAA